rnacentral:lncRNA from 10 species
CAAAAGCUGACCUCCUCUCCUGCACAAACUCUCCUGCUUUCUGGAAUUUCCCCCUGCUGUGUCCUUUUGGGGCCUGUGCUGCUCAGGAGACCAACUUUUCAGAUUGCUCCUUCCUCUGCUAUUCCUGAAAGUGCUUGCACUCUCAGGGACCUAAGAGUAGAAGGAUCCACGGGAAGGCUGAGACCGCCACCGCGACAUUCGCAUGUUUGGAGAGACUGCCUCACACUCGGAUGCACUAAUGCAGUGCACGACAUUCUCAGUGGUGAAAUUUUCCACAGCUGGGGCUGUAGGAGGACUUAUGUUGUGGUUUAAGAGCUUCCUACAGCCCUUGUAAACCUAUGGUGGAUCUUUCCAAACAUAAAGAUUUUUUGUUGUUGUUCUGGAGAGCUAUGCAGAACUUAGAAAAUGUUUGAUAAAAAGAAUGAGCUAAAUGAGGAAGACGGGAAGACAAAGAGAGAAAAUGCCAACGCUUAAUUUAAAGAAGCUCUCCAGGUCUGAAUAAAAUCUGGGAAGGAACCUUCUCCUAACCCUGACAAUUCGACAGUUAGGACCCAGUGGACACCUCGCGAUGUCUCCCUCCUGCCUGACUUUGAAGGGAGGUCACUCAGCUGCUCUGGAGUCUGAGCUAGAAUACAUUUCUCAUGAGGCAGAAAUUUUUUAUUACUUCCUGGUUGUUUCAUAAUUAUCCACAGGGGUAAAAACUCACUGGGGCCACUUGACUAUGUGUUGCUCAUGCUUAAACAACCUAGGUAUUUUACAUUUUGAAUGGACAGGAAAAUGUGCUCACCUUCUUGGGGAUAUUCAUUUAACUGCAAUUCUUUGGGGAAGGCUCAGUUCCCAUGAAUCAGAUCCUAAUGUGGAAAUCAGAAAGCAGGAAAUCUCAUCCUAGGUUUUAUCAUUGGAUCAGCACCAUAAAAGCAUUAAUUUCCAGAGAAUGGGAAUUCUAAGGAAGCAUUCCUUGUACACAUUCUUUGACUUGAAUGGACAGGUUUCACCUAAGACUUUGCAAAAUAGUUUCAUCCGCCCCCUUAAUAAUAAGGCACAAAACUAUAAUUAAAUGUGUCUUACCCCCUCUACAUAUUAUGUGUUUUUUUUAUAUGGAACACUCUUCAGAUGAAAAUAAAAUUCAUAAUUUCAUAGAAAAUAUUCUCAGAAAUUACCUAUUCUUGUGAUUUAGGAGAAUUCAAAAUUUCUCAUGUUUUAAAUCCUGUAUUUCUAAAUUACUUUUUCAUUUUUAUGAUUUUUCAAAAAUUUCAGUAUGUUUUAUUCAUAAUGUUUACGUGGCAUUGUAACAUUUAAAGUGAUAUCUAGAUGCCCAAAGUCCCCUAGAGCAGCAAGAUUUCCUCAUCUGGGGUCAUGGAUCUAUCUGGGGUCCCCUUGGAGAAGUUUGUUCCAUGGAAUGAAUUCAGAGGAGAGCAUGGUUGGCUGUGGAAAAAAUUGCAUCUUAAUUCUGCACGAACCUCCAACUAAAAAAAGAAUCUUUUUUUCAAUGACGAAUACAGGCUGCAAACCAUAGAAGCAUAGCAAUACAGCGAUUUUGUCAGUGAUAGAAAUCACAGAUAUUUUCAUACCAUUUCACAGGUGUAGCAGAUAACCUGAAAUACAAUUUAAGCUCAUCACUACUUUGAUAUUUUGGUUAUGAGUAUUUGAUCUGCAACUCGUUAUAUUUAUUUAAAAUGCUAAUAAAGAAAAACAUUAU